GGUGCUGUGGCUUAGUUGGUUAAAGUGCCUGCCUAGUAAAUAGGCAAUUCUGGGUUCAAAUCUCAGCAGUGCCC
rnacentral:tRNA from 1 species